rnacentral:rRNA from 1 species
AAACUUCACACUGGGGGCAACCCCGAUGAGGGAAAUCCUAGUGCUAGGACAUUUGUUCUAGCUUUUCUCAAGCGUAGAUAACUUGAGGAAUAAGGGCUGGGUAAGACGGGUGCCAGCCGCCGCGGUAAUACCUGCAGCCCAAGUGGUGGUCGAUUUUAUUGAGUCUAAAACGUUCGUAGCCGGUUUGGUAAAUCUUUGGGUAAAUCGGGAGGCUCAACUUUCCGACUUCCGAAGAGACUGUCAAACUUGGGACCGGGAGAGGCUAGAGGUACUUCUGGGGUAGGGGUAAAAUCCUGUAAUCCUAGAAGGACCACCGGUGGCGAAGGCGUCUAGCUAGAACGGAUCCGACGGUGAGGGACGAAGCCCUGGGUCGCAAACGGGAUUAGAUACCCCGGUAGUCCAGGGUGUAAACGCUGCCGACUUGGUGUUGGAGGCCCUUCGGGGGCAUUCAGUGCCGGAGAGAAGUUGUUAAGUCGGCUACUUGGGGAGUACGUCCGCAAGGAUGAAACUUAAAGGAAUU